GGUUCGGUAGCUCAGCUGGAUAGAGCAACUGCCUUCUAAGCAGUAGGUCAUUGGUUCGAAUCCAAUCCGAAUCACAA
rnacentral:tRNA from 1 species